rnacentral:rRNA from 1 species
CAGCCGCCGCGGUAAUACGUAGGGGGCAAGCGUUAUCCGGAAUUACUGGGUGUAAAGGGAGCGUAGACGGUUAAACAAGUCUGAAGUGAAAUGCCGGGGCUCGACCCCGGAGCUGCUUUGGGAACUGUAGAACUGGAGUGUCGGAGGGGUAAGCGGAAUUCCCAGUGUAGCGGUGAAAUGCGUAGAUAUUGGGAGGAACACCGGCGGCGAAGGCGGCUUACUGGACGACAACUGACGUUGAGGCUCGAAGGCGUGGGUAGCAAACAGGAUUAGAUACCCGCGUAGUCCCUGUCUCUUAUAU